rnacentral:rRNA from 1 species
UACGUAGGGUGCGAGCGUUAAUCGGAAUUACUGGGCGUAAAGCGUGCGCAGGCGGUUUUGUAAGCCAGAUGUGAAAUCCCCGGGCUCAACCUGGGAAUGGCAUUUGGGACUGCAAGGCUGGAGUACGGCAGAGGAGACUGGAAUUCCUGGUGUAGCAGUGAAAUGCGUAGAUAUCAGGAGGAAUACCGAUGGCGAAGGCAGGUCUCUGGGACGGUAUUGACGCUAAGGCGCGAAAGCGUGGGGAGCAAACAGG